AAGUCGAGCGAACAGACGAGGAGCUUGCUUCUCUGACGUUAGCGGCGGACGGGUGAGUAACACGUGGAUAACCUACCUAUAAGACUGGGAUAACUUCGGGAAACCGGAGCUAAUACCGGAUAAUAUAUUGAACCGCAUGGUUCAAUAGUGAAAGACGGUUUUGCUGUCACUUAUAGAUGGAUCCGCGUCGCAUUAGCUAGUUGGUAAGGUAACGGCUUACCAAGGCAACGAUGCGUAGCCGACCUGAGAGGGUGAUCGGCCACACUGGAACUGAGACACGGUCCAGACUCCUACGGGAGGCAGCAGUAGGGAAUCUUCCGCAAUGGGCGAAAGCCUGACGGAGCAACGCCGCGUGAGUGAUGAAGGUCUUCGGAUCGUAAAACUCUGCUAUUAGGGAAGAACAAAUGUGUAAGUAACUAUGCACGUCUUGACGGUACCUAAUCAGAAAGCCACGGCUAACUACGUGCCAGCAGCCGCGGUAAUACGUAGGUGGCAAGCGUUAUCCGGAAUUAUUGGGCGUAAAGCGCGCGUAGGCGGUUUUUUAAGUCUGAUGUGAAAGCCCACGGCUCAACCGUGGAGGGUCAUUGGAAACUGAAAAACUUGAGUGCAGAAGAGGAAAGUGGAAUUCCAUGUGUAGCGGUGAAAUGCGCAGAGAUAUGGAGGAACACCAGUGGCGAAGGCGACUUUCUGGUCUGUAACUGACGCUGAUGUGCGAAAGCGUGGGGAUC
rnacentral:rRNA from 1 species